AACAGCCCUUGAAUUCCAAAAAUACCGGCUCUUUUCAGAGUAAGAUUUAAAUGCAAGAAGACAAUUUCUCUUACAGAGUUUUUCCUGUCACUCAGAGUCCCCUCGCUGGAAACAAGCAGCCGAUUUAAAAAGAUAUUGGAAGAACAGCUUGGACACAGAAAGGAAUGACCUCGAGUCUUAAAAAACAGACAAGCUUUUCAGUGGCUUGAAUCUUGGAACAAGACGCUAAAAGUCAUAUAAGGGCAGUAAGAAGGUUCAUUGAGAUGCCAAACUAUGGCUGGCUACAACUUCAGUACAUCUUGUAACAAUGCAGGCCAUGACAUGCCGGAGUGAUGGAGCAUGGUUUAUCACAUCUCCCUGGACAGAAGCGGGGGCUGUGAAGAUGGUCUGAAUUUCAGGAGAGCUCACCUGCCUCUGAGGGACUCAGGGCCAGUAUUUAGCAAACAGAAUUUGUGGUGCCGUGGUUACCAGUAA
rnacentral:lncRNA from 1 species